rnacentral:rRNA from 1 species
GACGAACGCUGGCGGCGUGCCUAACACAUGCAAGUCGAGCGGAGAUUGAGGAAGAGCUUGCUCGGAAUCAAUCUUAGCGGCGGACGGGUGAGUAACGCGUGAGCAACCUGCCUUUCACAGGGGGAUAACGCAGCGAAAGUUGUGCUAAUACCGCAUGAGACCACAGAGGGACACCCCUUAGGGGUCAAAGGAGCAAUCCGGUGAAAGAUGGGCUCGCGUCUGAUUAGCUAGUUGGUGAGGUAACGGCCCACCAAGGCGACGAUCAGUAGCCGACCUGAGAGGGUGAUCGGCCACAUUGGAACUGAGAGACGGUCCAA